AAUUAUGGAUCGAUAGAAAAUAAGAAGCAAUAGAAAAUAAAAAGCAAUAGAACGUACUCGCUGAACAAUCGCGUUGUUAAAGAGAAAAAAUGGAUUUUAAUGUAAAGAAAUUGGUUAAAGAUGCUGGUGCUGUACUGAGCAGAGUUGUACAGUUAACAGAGGAAACAUUAGGUACAUCUGAGAAAACUGAAUUAGAUGCACAUUUAGAACAUCUUGCAGAAAGAGCAAAUGCAACUAAAACAUGGACAGAAAAAGUUCUCAGCAAUAUGGAAGCUGUACUUACUCCUAAUCCAGGAAAUAGAAUUGAGGAUUUCUUUUAUGAAAAAAUCGAUAUAAAGAAACCUAAUAGGCUCAGCAAUCUUGAAUAUGUAGGCAAUGACAUGAUAGAAGCGGGAAAUCAUUUUGGAAGUGGAAUUGCCUAUGGUAGCGCUUUGAUAAAAGUAGGUCAGUGUCAACAAAAGCUGGGACAAAUUGAAAGAGAUUUUAUUGGAAUAGCGGCUAAUUGUUAUAUACAACCAUUAAGAAAGUUUCUAGAUGGGGAAAUGAAAACUGUUAUUAAAGAGAUGGCUAUUUUAGAAACCAAGAGGUUGGAUUUAGAUGCAUGCAAAAAUCGAGUAAGGAAAGCCAGAAGUAUGCUGGGUCAACAGAGUGACUCCGGCGUUUCACCCGAAGUAUUACUUGAUCAGGCAGAGAGGGAGCUGAGGGUGGCCCAAUCGGAAUUUGAUCGACAGGCAGAGAUCGUGAAGCUACUUUUAGAAGGAGUAUCAAGCUCUCAAGCUGGACAUUUGCGAUGUUUACAUGAAUUUGUGGAGGCACAAGCACGUCACUAUGCACAGUGUCAUGCAACUAUGCAAGAAUUACAACGUGAGCUUGCUGGGGCACGUCAGCCGAGUCCUUUGCUAAGAGUCAACAGCGAAGAAGUGAUCGAGCUAACACCCUCACCCACUUCAUCCCAAAAUCUGCCUAUAAAUAAUUCUCUUGCUGAUUCAACCUUAUCUGGGGGUCCUUAUCAUUCGACCACCUCAACAAAUCCUACUGUACAAGUGGAAAAUGGUCAAGAUCGUGCAAGAGUAGUCUGUGACUAUGAUGCUAGGGAUUCAACCGAGCUUAGUGUCAUGCAAGAUGAGGUAACCAAAUUUGUGAUUUAGGUAGAUGACAGCAUGUGUUCCAUGUAUCCAUAAACAAGGCAUGAUAUUCAUCUGAACUGUUAUACUAUAAUCAAGUUUAUAAAUAAUAAAAUAAGAAGUUCCAUAUAAUACUCAAAUGGAAGUGAUCUAGGAUAAUAAAUUUGUAUUGUAGCAGAAUUGGCAUUAUACUUACCAUGCGAAAAGAUGCAUGAUAUAAUAUUAAUUUACUUUUAAAUAGAUUAUAUAUAUAGUAAAUGAAUAAUUUUUAUAUUUUUGUUAAGAAAAGUCGUAAUAUUCUCUAUCUGUUUAUUAUUCUUCUGUAUAUUUUGUUUAUUAGAAUUAUUAAUAUUAGUUAUCAUAUACACGUUUAUUCGUUUAAUUGUAUAUUUAUUCAUAUUUUGCAUGUUAAAUAAAUACUUAUCAUUUGAUUUAAUGUUAAGAUUUAUAUCUUCCUAAUCUUUUGUUGUCUUUUAGAAUAGUCAGAGAUAAGUAAACUGUUUAAUUGAAAUAAGUGAACACACAUAAUUAUCAUCUGAAUUUAUCCGAUGCAAUGUUUAGUGUUUAGAAUAUACACUACAGUAUGUUUUAUU